rnacentral:rRNA from 1 species
ACGUAGGGGGCGAGCGUUAUUCGGAAUUACUGGGCGUAAAGGGCAUGUAGGCGGUUUAUUAAGCUUGGCGUGAAAGACCACAGCUCAACGGUGGGGUUGCGCUGAAAACUGAUGAACUUGAGUUCCGGAGAGGGAGAUAGAAUUCCUGGUGUAGGGGUAGAAUACGUAGAGAUCAGGAAGAAUACCGAUGGCGCAGGCAACUUUCUGGACAAUUUCUGACGCUAAGGUGCGAAAGUGUGGGGAUCAAACAG